GUCGCCUCUGGGAGAACCGAGAGACCCGCAGUGAGCAGAGUUGACCACCGAGAGCCGGGGCCUCCCGGGGCGUAGCCGGGGAGAGCUCUCGAGUGACGGGGGAGCUCUGACCGUGCAAGCUUGAGAGGCAGACUGCCUUCAGCUCAGGUCCUAGGAAUUUCAGACAAGGCCGGAUUACCACCUGUAAACCAGAGACAACUUGUCAUUUGAAUGAACAGAAUCAUGAACUAAAAUAAAAAGGAAAGUAAUGUAUCUUGAUUGUGACAGUAUGCGGAGGCUAUCUUACCCACCACUGUUGGAAUAUGAUAGUGACAGUCUCCUGUGGAAACUCCCCCACUGGCUGAACCCAAGAAGCAGCCCAGGGGAACUAAGCGGAGAUGACAGUGUCCUUCAAGGCCAGCUGCUGGAAAAGGACAGAGGGUAGAUCUGGAAAGACAAAGGCAGAAUAUCUAGCAGGUGUGUGGUCAUAGAACAAUGUGAGAACUGUCUAAGCGUAUGGCCAAGGAGCUUCAGGGAAUCCAGAAACCAGGGUUCCAGAGAGAAUAAGUGAAGGUAGCUGGAGAGUAGGUAAGGUAGGUGGAGGGAACAGGAAAGAUCAUCAA